GAUCCUGGCUUAGGAUAAACGCUGGCGGCAUGCCUAAUACAUGCAAGUCGAACGGAGUUACCUUCGGGUAACUUAGUGGCGAACGGGUGAGUAACACGUAGGUAAUCCAUCCCAAGGACGAGGAUAGCUUCUGGAAACGGAAGGUAAAACUGGAUAGUUAAUUAGAGGGCAUCCUCUAAUUAUUAAAAGAGCAAUCUACCCUGGGAAGAGCCUGCGGCGCAUUAGCUAGUUGGUGAGGUAAUGGCCCACCAAGGCGAUGAUGCGUAGCCGGACUGAGAGGUCGACCGGCCACAUUGGGACUGAGACACGGCCCAGACUCCUACGGGAGGCAGCAGUAGGGAAUUUUCGGCAAUGGGCGGAAGCCUGACCGAGCAAUGCCGCGUGAAUGAUGAAGUAUUUCGGUAUGUAAAGUUCUUUUAACAGGGACGAAAAAACAAAUUGACGGUACCUGUUGAAUAAGCUCCGGCUAACUACGUGCCAGCCGCCGC
rnacentral:rRNA from 1 species